rnacentral:rRNA from 1 species
GAUGAACGCUGGCGGCGUGCCUAAUACAUGCAAGUCGAGCGAACAGACGAGGAGCUUGCUCCUCUGACGUUAGCGGCGGACGGGUGAGUAACACGUGGAUAACCUACCUAUAAGACUGGGAUAACUUCGGGAAACCGGAGCUAAUACCGGAUAAUAUAUUGAACCGCAUGGUUCAAUAGGGAAAGACGGUUUUGCUGUCACUUAUAGAUGGAUCCGCGCCGCAUUAGCUAGUUGGUAAGGUAACGGCUUACCAAGGCAACGAUGCGUAGCCGACCUGAGAGGGUGAUCGGCCACACUGGAACUGAGACACGGUCCAGACUCCUACGGGAGGCAGCAGUAGGGAAUCUUCCGCAAUGGGCGAAAGCUUGACGGAGCAACGCCGCGUGAGUGAUGAAGGUCUUCGGAUCGUAAAACUCUGUUAUUAGGGAAGAACAAAUGUGUAAGUAACUAUGCACGUCUUGACGGUACCUAAUCAGAAAGCCACGGCUAACUACGUG